AUGCUUGCUUCGGUAGCACAUAUACUGAAAUUGUAAUGAUAGAAGAUUAGCAUGGCCCCUGCACAAGGAUGACAUGCAAAUUCGUGAAGCGUUCCAUAUUUUU